rnacentral:ncRNA from 1 species
UGUCCGGCUCUCCAUUACCAAGUCGGAUACAGCAUUAAUAAGGAGGAAAAGCAAGAUCCCUGAGGCUCAGGGUGCGGCAGUGUGGAGACCUGUCGUAAUGCGGGUGGCAAUGCCCCUGCGAGGAUGCCAGCGGCGGAGGCCCGGUGUUCAGAGUCGAGAAAAAUGGCA